rnacentral:rRNA from 1 species
UACGUAGGGUGCAAGCGUUAAUCGGAAUUACUGGGCGUAAAGCGUGCGCAGGCGGUCUUGUAAGACAGAGGUGAAAUCCCCGGGCUUAACCUGGGAAUGGCCUAUGUGACUGGCAGGCUAGAGGAUGGCAGAGGGAGGCGGAAUUCCACGUGUAGCAGUGAAAUGCGUAGAGAUGUGGAGGAACACCGAUGGCGAAGGCAGCCUCCUGGGCCAAUUCUGACGCUCAGGCACGAAAGCGUGGGGAUCAAACAGG